rnacentral:rRNA from 1 species
GACGAACGCUGGCGGCGUGCUUAACACAUGCAAGUCGAACGGAAAGGCCCUGCUUUUGUGGGGUGCUCGAGUGGCGAACGGGUGAGUAACACGUGAGUAACCUGCCCUUGACUUUGGGAUAACUUCAGGAAACUGGGGCUAAUACCGGAUAUGAGCUCCUGCUGCAUGGUGGGGGUUGGAAAGUUUCGGCGGUUGGGGAUGGACUCGCGGCUUAUCAGCUUGUUGGUGGGGUAGUGGCUUACCAAGGAUUUGACGGGUAGCCGGCCUGAGAGGGUGACCGGCAACAUUGGGACUGAGAGACGGCCCAGACUCCAACGGGAGGCAGCAGUGGGGAAGAGUGCACAAUGGGCGGAAGCCUGAUGCAGCAACGCCGCGUGCGGGAUGAAGGCCUUCGGGUUGUAAACCGCUUUCGCCUGUGACGAAGCGUGAGUGACGGUAAUGGGUAAAGAAGCACCGGCUAACUACGUG